rnacentral:rRNA from 1 species
CCCUUAGAUGUCCGGGGCCGCACGCGCGCUACACUGAAGGAAUCAGCGUGGCUUUCUCCCUGACCCGAAAGGGUUGGGAAACCCGUUGAAUCUCCUUCGUGAUAGGGAUUGGGGCUUGAAAUUGUUCCCCAUGAACGAGGAAUUCCCAGUAAGCGCGAGUCAUAAGCUUGCGUCGAUUACGUCCCUGCCCUUUGUACACACCGCCCGUCGCUCCUACCGAUUGGGUGUGCUGGUGAAAUGUUCGGAUCGGCCGUUUGUCGCGGUUUCCGCGUCAUGUGGCUGAGAAGUUCAUUAAACCCUCCCACCUAGAGGAAGGAGAAGUCGUAACA